UGUCAGCAGCCGCGGUAAUACAGAGGUCUCAAGCGUUGUUCGGAUUCAUUGGGCGUAAAGGGUGCGUAGGCGGCUAGGUAAGUCAGAUGUGAAAUUCCGGGGCUCAACCUCGGAACUGCAUUUGAUACUGCUUGGUUAGAGUACUGGAGAGGAGACUGGAAUUUACGGUGUAGCAGUGAAAUGCGUAGAUAUCGUAAGGAAGGCCAGUGGCGAAGGCGAGUCUCUGGACAGUAACUGACGCUGAGGCACGAAGGCUAGGGGAGCAAACGGGAUUAGAUACCCCGGUAGUCCUAGCAGUAAACGGUGCACGUUUGGUGUGGGAGGAAUCGACCCCUUCCGUGCCGGAGCUAACGCGUUAAACGUGCCGCCUGGGGAGUACGGUCGCAAGAUUAAAACUCAAAGAAAUUGGCGG
rnacentral:rRNA from 1 species